rnacentral:rRNA from 1 species
CCUACGGGUGGCAGCAGUAGGGAAUAUUGCUCAAUGGGGGAAACCCUGAAGCAGCAACGCCGCGUGGAGGAUGAAGGUUUUAGGAUUGUAAAACCCCUUUGUUAGAGAAGAUUAUGACGGUAUCUAACGAAUAAGCACCGGUCAACUCCGUGCCAGCAGCCGUGGUAAGAUGGCGGGUGCCAGCGUUAUUCGGAAUCACUGGGCGUAAAGAGUGCGUAUGCGGGGUAAUAAGUCAGAUGUGAAAACCUGAAGCUUAACUACAGAACUGCAGUUGAAACUGGUACUCUGGAGUGUGGGAGAGGUAUGUGGAAUGCGUGGUGUAGGGGUGAAAUGCGUAGAGAUCGAGAGGAAUACUGAUUGCGAAGG